GGGAGAGGUAGCUUGCUACAUUACCUAGCGGCGGACGGGUGAGUAAUGCUUAGGAAUCUGCCUAUUAGUGGGGGACAACAUUCCGAAAGGAAUGCUAAUACCGCAUACGCCCUACGGGGGAAAGCAGGGGAUCUUCGGACCUUGCGCUAAUAGAUGAGCCUAAGUCAGAUUAGCUAGUUGGUGGGGUAAAGGCCUACCAAGGCGACGAUCUGUAGCGGGUCUGAGAGGAUGAUCCGCCACACUGGGACUGAGACACGGCCCAGACUCCUACGGGAGGCAGCAGUGGGGAAUAUUGGACAAUGGGCGAAAGCCUGAUCCAGCCAUGCCGCGUGUGUGAAGAAGGCCUUUUGGUUGUAAAGCACUUUAAGCGAGGAGGAGGCUACUUGGAUUAAUACUCUAGGAUAGUGGACGUUACUCGCAGAAUAAGCACCGGCUAACUCUGUGCCAGCAGCCGCGGUAAUACAGAGGGUGCGAGCGUUAAUCGGAUUUACUGGGCGUAAAGCGUGCGUAGGCGGCUUUUUAAGUCGGAUGUGAAAUCCCUGAGCUUAACUUAGGAAUUGCAUUCGAUAC
rnacentral:rRNA from 1 species